GACGAACGCUGGCGGCGUGCUUAACACAUGCAAGUCGAGCGGAAAGGCCACUUCGGUGGUACUCGAGCGGCGAACGGGUGAGUAACACGUGAGUAAUCUGCCCCUGGCUUCGGGAUAGCCACCGGAAACGGUGAUUAAUACCGGAUAUGACCACGUCUCGCAUGGGGUGUGGUGGAAAGUUUUUCGGCCAGGGAUGUGCUAGCGGCCUAUCAGCUUGAUGGUGAGGUAAUGGCUCACCAUGGCUUCGACGGGUAGCCGGCCUGAGAGGGUGACCGGUCACACUGGGACUAAGACACGGCCCAGACUCCUACGGGAGGCAGCAGUGGGGAAUAUUGGACAAUGGGCGGAAGCCUGAUCCAGCAACGCCGCGUGAGGGAUGACGGCCUUCGGGUUGUAAACCUCUUUCAGUACCGACGAAGCGCAAGUGACGGUAGGUACAGAAGAAGGACCGGCCAACCACGUGCCAGCCGCCGCGGUAAUAC
rnacentral:rRNA from 1 species